AACGCUAGCUACAGGCUUAACACAUGCAAGUCGAGGGGCAGCAUUGUUGUUGCUUGCAAUAACAGAUGGCGACCGGCGCACGGGUGAGUAACGCGUAUCCAACCUUCCCAUGUCCACGGGAUAGCCCGUCGAAAGGCGGAUUAAUACCGUAUGAGGUCACAUGCGGGCAUCUAAGUGUGACGAAAGGUUUAGCGGACAUGGAUGGGGAUGCGUCCGAUUAGCUUGUUGGCGGGGUAACGGCCCACCAAGGCGACGAUCGGUAGGGGUUCUGAGAGGAAGGUCCCCCACAUUGGAACUGAGACACGGUCCAAACUCCUACGGGAGGCAGCAGUGAGGAAUAUUGGUCAAUGGACGUAAGUCUGAACCAGCCAAGUAGCGUGCAGGAUGACGGCCCUAUGGGUUGUAAACUGCUUUUAUGCGGGGAUAAAGUGAGGGAUGCAUCCCUUUUUGUAGGUACCGCAUGAAUAAGGACCGGCUAAUUCCGUGCCAGCAGCCGCGGUAAUACGGAAGGUCCGGGCGUUAUCCGGAUUUAUUGGGUUUAAAGGGAGCGUAGGCCGUCGUUUAAGCGUGUUGUGAAAUGCCGCGGCUCAACCGUGGCACUGCAGCGCGAACUGGAUGACUUGAGUUCGCGGGAGGUAGGCGGAAUUCGUGGUGUAGCGGUGAAAUGCUUAGAUAUCACGAAGAACUCCGAUUG
rnacentral:rRNA from 1 species